UAACACGAUAUGCGGUUCUCAGCAGGCAUCUAACGAGAACGAAAUGUGAAGGAGAAGGAUGGGGAUGCGUCUGAUUAGCUUGUUGGCGGGGUAACGGCCCACCAAGGCGACGAUCAGUAGGGGUUCUGAGAGGAAGGUCCCCCACAUUGGAACUGAGACACGGUCCAAACUCCUACGGGAGGCAGCAGUGAGGAAUAUUGGUCAAUGGACGGGAGUCUGAACCAGCCAAGUAGCGUGCAGGAUGACGGCCCUAUGGGUUGUAAACUGCUUUUAUAAGGGAAUAAAGUGAGCCUCGUGAGGCUUUUUGCAUGUACCUUAUGAAUAAGGACCGGCUAAUUCCGUG
rnacentral:rRNA from 1 species